rnacentral:rRNA from 1 species
ACGAUGAAGCCCAGCUUGCUGGGUGGAUUAGUGGCGAACGGGUGAGUAACACGUGAGCAACCUGCCCCUGACUCUGGGAUAAGCGCUGGAAACGGCGUCUAAUACUGGAUAUGUCCCGUCACCGCAUGGUGUGCGGGUGGAAAGAUUUUUCGGUUGGGGAUGGGCUCGCGGCCUAUCAGCUUGUUGGUGAGGUAAUGGCUCACCAAGGCGUCGACGGGUAGCCGGCCUGAGAGGGUGACCGGCCACACUGGGACUGAGACACGGCCCAGACUCCUACGGGAGGCAGCAGUGGGGAAUAUUGCACAAUGGGCGGAAGCCUGAUGCAGCAACGCCGCGUGAGGGAUGACGGCCUUCGGGUUGUAAACCUCUUUUAGCAGGGAAGAAGCGAGAGUGACGGUACCUGCAGAAAAAGCACCGGCUAACUACGUGCCAGCAGCCGCGGUAAUACGUAGGGUGCAAGCGUUAUCCGGAAUUAUUGGGCGUAAAGAGCUCGUAGGCGGUCUGUCGCGUCUGCUGUGAAAUCCCGAGGCUCAACCUCGGGCUUGCAGUGGGUACGGGCAGACUAGAGUGCGGUAGGGGAGAUUGGAAUUCCUGGUGUAGCGGUGGAAUGCGCAGAUAUCAGGAGGAACACCGAUGGCGAAGGCAGAUCUCUGGGCCGUAACUGACGCUGAGGAGCGAAAGGGUGGGGAGCAAACAGGCUUAGAUACCCUGGUAGUCCACCCCGUAAACGUUGGGAACUAGUUGUGGGGUCCUUUCCACGGAUUCCGUGACGCAGCUAACGCAUUAAGUUCCCCGCCUGGGGAGUACGGCCGCAAGGCUAAAACUCAAAGGAAUUGACGGGGACCCGCACAAGCGGCGGAGCAUGCGGAUUAAUUCGAUGCAACGCGAAGAACCUUACCAAGGCUUGACAUACACGAGAACGGGCCAGAAAUGGUCAACUCUUUGGACACUCGUGAACAGGUGGUGCAUGGUUGUCGUCAGCUCGUGUCGUGAGAUGUUGGGUUAAGUCCCGCAACGAGCGCAACCCU